CAGCGACGCCGCGUGGGGGAUGACGGUCUUCGGAUUGUAAACCCCUUUCASUWKGGACRAAGCGCAAGUGACGGUACCUGCAGAAGAAGCACCGGGCUAACUACGUGCCAGCAGCCGCGGUAAUACGUAGGGUGCGAGCGUUGUCCGGAAUUACUGGGCGUAAAGAGCUCGUAGGCGGUUUGUCACGUCGUCUGUGAAAUCCCUCGGCUUAACCGGGGGCGUGCAGGCGAUACGGGCAGACUUGAGUACUACAGGGGAGACUGGAAUUCCUGGUGUAGCGGUGAAAUGCGCAGAUAUCAGGAGGAACACCGGUGGCGAAGGCGGGUCUCUGGGUAGUAACUGACGCUGAGGAGCGAAAGCAYGGGUAGCGAACAGGAUUAGAUACCCUGGUAGUCCAUGCCGUAAACGGUGGGCGCUAGGUGUGGGGUCCUUCCACGGACUCCGUGCCGUAGCUAACGCAUUAAGCGCCCCGCCUGGGGAGUACGGCCGCAAGGCUAAAACUCAAAGGAAUUGACGGGGGCCCGCACAAGCGGCGGAGCAUGUGRAWWRAUUYGAUGCAACGCGAAGAACCUUACCUAGGCUUGACAUAUACAGGACGAC
rnacentral:rRNA from 1 species